AAAUCAUGUUGAGGGCAACUUCUUAGCAAACCCUUGUAUAUCCCACAAUUCAUAUAAUGAUUCUCCCAACUCUUGUUAGAAGUUAGAAAUAUUCUUUUUGAUUUU